rnacentral:misc_RNA from 1 species
GAUGAAGAACGCAGCGAAAUGCGAUAAGUAGUGUGAAUUGCAGAAUUCAGUGAAUCAUCGAAUCUUUGAACGCACAUUGCGCCCCUUGGUAUUCCAUGGGGCAUGCCUGUUCGAGCGUCAUUUGUACCUUCAAGCUUUGCUUGGUGUUGGGUGUUUGUCCCGAGGGACUCGCCUUAAAGUAAUUGGCAGCCAGUGUUUGGUUUUGAAGCGCAGCACAAGUCGCGAUUCAAGGCUACACGCCCGCUUCCACAAGCCUUUUUUCAUUUUUGACCUCGGAUCAGGUAGGGAUACCCGCUGAACUUAAGCAUAUCAAUAAGCGGAGGA